rnacentral:misc_RNA from 1 species
AAAAUUGAGGUAUUCAUUACCUCUUUGUAUUUAAACCCCACUCUAUAAAACCUAAAAUUUUUUAAAAAAUAAAAAUUA